UACGGGGGGGGCAAGCGUUGUUCGGAAUUACUGGGCGUAAAGGGCUCGUAGGCGGCCAACUAAGUCAGACGUGAAAUCCCCAGGCUUAACCUGGGAACUGCGUCUGAUACUGGAUGGCUUGAAUUCGGGAGAGGGAUGCAGAAUUCCAGGUGUAGCGGUGAAAUGCGUAGAUAUCUGGAGGAACACCGGUGGCGAAGGCGGCUACCUGGCCCAACAUUGACGCUGAGACCCGAAAGCAUGGGGAUCAAACAGG
rnacentral:rRNA from 1 species